UGAGUUUGUUAUACGGUCGCGGUGCUUAAAAGGCAAUGAGGAAAGUCCGAGCAGCACAGGACAGGGUGCUUGAUAACGUCAAGUGAAGGCGACUUUAAGGAAAGUGCAACAGAAAUAAACCGCUUUGAAAAAAGUAAGGGUGGAAAUGUAGUGUAAGAGACUACAAACGCAAUGGCGACUUUGCGUUCAUGUAAACCCCACUCGGUGCAAGAAAUGAGACCAAAUACCUGCUCGGUAUCUCGACAUAUUCGCUGGAGGCUGUUGGUAACAGCAGUCGUAGAUAGAUAAUCAUCAAAUACAGAACUCGGCUUACAGACUGUACUCUUAUU
rnacentral:RNase_P_RNA from 1 species